rnacentral:rRNA from 1 species
AUUGAACGCUGGCGGCAGGCCUAACACAUGCAAGUCGAGCGGAUGAAGGGAGCUUGCUCCUGGAUUCAGCGGCGGACGGGUGAGUAAUGCCUAGGAAUCUGCCUGGUAGUGGGGGAUAACGUCCGGAAACGGGCGCUAAUACCGCAUACGUCCUGAGGGAGAAAGUGGGGGAUCUUCGGACCUCACGCUAUCAGAUGAGCCUAGGUCGGAUUAGCUAGUUGGUGGGGUAAAGGCCUACCAAGGCGACGAUCCGUAACUGGUCUGAGAGGAUGAUCAGUCACACUGGAACUGAGACACGGUCCAGACUCCUACGGUAGGCAGCAGUGGGGAAUAUUGGACAAUGUGCGAAAGCCUGAUCCAGCCAUGCCGCGUGUGUGAAGAAGGUCUUCGGAUUGUAAAGCACUUUAAGUUGGGAGGAAGGGCAGUAAGUUAAUACCUUGCUGUUUUGACGUUACCAACAGAAUAAGCACCGGCUAACUUCGUG